rnacentral:sRNA from 1 species
ACAAUAGCACAUUCCCUUCCGCUCAGAGAGCAGUGCAGUAUAUUCCAGCUGCCAUAGGAAAUGCACAUGCUUCAUAGGAAAAGACAAUAGGUAAACGUACCUUGGUCUGAAGGGGUUUAAAUCUAGGGUUUCUAGUCAAUAGUUCAACAGCCCUUAUUCAGCGCUUCUUUCUUUCUUUAUACUAUCUUUGUUGGGAAUUGGAGCGGAUUAUUUGCUUUUCCUUACAGGUAGCAGCAGGCC